rnacentral:rRNA from 1 species
AGUGAACGCUGGCGGUAGGCCUAACACAUGCAAGUCGAACGGCAGCACAGUAAGAGCUUGCUCUUACGGGUGGCGAGUGGCGGACGGGUGAGGAAUACAUCGGAAUCUACUUUUUCGUGGGGGAUAAUGUAGGGAAACUUACGCUAAUACCGCAUACGACCUACGGGUGAAAGCAGGGGAUCUUCGGACCUUGCGCGAUUGAAUGAGCCGAUGUCGGACUAGCUAGUUGGCGGGGUAAAGGCCCACCAAGGCGACGAUCCGUAGCUGGUCUGAGAGGAUGAUCAGCCACACUGGAACUGAGACACGGUCCAGACUCCUACGGGAGGCAGCAGUGGGGAAUAUUGGACAAUGGGCGCAAGCCUGAUCCAGCCAUACCGCGUGGGUGAAGAAGGCCUUCGGGUUGUAAAGCCCUUUUGUUGGGAAAGAAAAGCAGCAGGUUAAUACCCCGCUGUUCUGACGGUACCCAAAGAAUAAGCACCGGCUAACUUCGUG